rnacentral:rRNA from 1 species
UACGGAGGGGCUAGCGUUGUUCGGAAUUACUGGGCGUAAAGCGCACGUAGGCGGCUUUGUAAGUUAGAGGUGAAAGCCCGGGGCUCAACUCCGGAAUUGCCUUUAAGACUGCAUCGCUAGAAUUGUGGAGAGGUAAGUGGAAUUCCGAGUGUAGAGGUGAAAUUCGUAGAUAGUUCGGAAGAACACCAGUGGCGAAGGCGACUUACUGGACACAUAUUGACGCUGAGGUGGCGAAAGCGUGGGGAGCAAACAGG